rnacentral:rRNA from 1 species
GAUCCCUGGCUCAGGAUGAACGCUAGCUACAGGCUUAACACAUGCAGGUCGAGGGGCAGCAUGGUCUUAGCUUGCUAAGGCCGAUGGCGACCGGCGCACGGGUGAGUAACGCGUAUCCAACCUGCCUUACACUCUUGGACAGCCUUCUGAAAGGGAGAUUAAUACAAGAUGCUAUCAUGAGUAAGCAUUUUCGCAUGAUUAAAGGUUUACCGGUGUAAGAUGGGGAUGCG